rnacentral:rRNA from 1 species
GACGAACGCUGGCGGCGUGCUUAACACAUGCAAGUCGAACGGAAAGGCCCUGCUUUUGUGGGGUGCUCGAGUGGCGAAGGGGUGAGUAACACGUGAGUAACCUGCCCUUGACUUUGGGAUAACUUCAGGAAACUGGGGCUAAUACCGGAUAGGAGCUCCUGCUGCAUGGUGGGGGUUGGAAAGUUUCGGCGGUUGGGGAUGGACUCGCGGCGUAUCAGCUUGUUGGUGGGGUAGUGGCUUACCAAGGCUUUGACGGGUAGCCGGCCUGAGAGGGUGACCGGCCACAUUGGGACUGAGAUACGGCCCAGACUCCUACGGGAGGCAGCAGUGGGGAAUAUUGCACAAUGGGCGGAAGCCUGAUGCAGCAACGCCGCGUGCGGGAUGACGGCCUUCGGGUUGUAAACCGCUUUCGCCUGUGACGAAGCGUGAGUGACGGUAAUGGGUAAAGAAGCACCGGCUAACUACGUG